rnacentral:rRNA from 1 species
AUACGGACYNCCACUAUAGGGCGAAUUGGKYCCGACGUCGCAUGCUCCCGGCCGCCAUGGCCGCGGGAUUCCUACGGGAGGCAGCAGUAGGGAAUCUUCCGCAAUGGACGAAAGUCUGACGGAGCAACGCCGCGUGAGUGAUGAAGGCUUUCGGGUCGUAAAACUCUGUUGUUAGGGAAGAACAAGUGCUAGUUGAAUAAGCUGGCACCUUGACGGUACCUAACCAGAAAGCCACGGCUAACUACGUGCCAGCAGCCGCGGUAAUACGUAGGUGGCAAGCGUUAUCCGGAAUUAUUGGGCGUAAAGCGCGCGCAGGUGGUUUCUUAAGUCUGAUGUGAAAGCCCACGGCUCAACCGUGGAGGGUCAUUGGAAACUGGGAGACUUGAGUGCAGAAGAGGAAAGUGGAAUUCCAUGUGUAGCGGUGAAAUGCGUAGAGAUAUGGAGGAACACCAGUGGCGAAGGCGACUUUCUGGUCUGUAACUGACACUGAGGCGCGAAAGCGUGGGGAGCAAACAGGAUUAGAUACCCUGGUAGUCCACGCCGUAAACGAUGAGUGCUAAGUGUUAGAGGGUUUCCGCCCUUUAGUGCUGAAGUUAACGCAUUAAGCACUCCGCCUGGGGAGUACGGCCGCAAGGCUGAAACUCAAAUGAAUUGACGGGGAAUCACUAGUGCGGCCGCCUGCAGGUCGACCAUAUGGGAGAGCUCCCAACGCGUGGA